AUCAUUUACGCAGGCCGCACGUAGUUGCCGAUUAAACGCGAUUCGAGAGCGCUUCGCUACGAUGCGUCUCCGUGGCGUUCCGUUGGCGGAAAAGAGCGGCGAUAGCGGAUGACGUCAACUUCACUCCGAUUUAUCGCGCGAGUCAAGCGAGGGUUAAGAGGCCGAAAUCGAGACGGCUAAUCGAGACGGCUAAUCGAGAGUAUCGAGACGGCUUCCCUGCACGCACAAGGUGUCAUACGCGUGCUGUAACGCGCGCUAACGCAUGCAUAUAUACAAAGUAAGGGUCAAUCAAUCGCGUCGAUUCGACAUCUUAAGUUUUAUAGCUUGACUCGCGUUAUGUCGCGGCGGUAAAUCGGAGUGAAGUUGCCGACGCUGACGUCAUCCGCUAUCGACGCUCUUUCCCGUCAACGGAACGCCACGAAGACGCGGCGUAGCGGAGCGCUCUCGAUUCACGUUUAAUCAAGAAUUACGGCUUGCCCAACUGGUCCUGUAUAUUCGUUGCGUUUCGGCAAUAAGCGCGCGCGUGUGAGAUCGUGUGUAAGAGCUGUGGAGGAGCAGCGCUGCGAAGAAUUCCGAGAGAAGGAGCGGCAGAAGCUCGGCGUCGGGCAGCGCGAGAGGGAAGAGGACGCGCGAGGAGAGCAACAGAAGCUUGGUCGGCGUCGGUCGGCGUCAGUCGGCGUAGCGCGACUGCGGAGGGCGGACUUCCAAUAAAAUCGGGAACGCCUACGAAGCUGGAAAUCGAGGAGGCGCGGCUUGGAACCGCGAUAACACGUACAUCACGAUUACUGGCGAAAUCACGUUUCCGGAACGGCGAAUAAACGCGUUCGACGAUUUGCGAGUGUUUCCCCGGAAAUUUUCGCCUCGCUUCCUGGAUUCCAUACGCUUUCGUUGGUACGUAAAUAUCGACUCUCUACGUCCGCUCAAGGAAGUUUGCAGUUCGCUACGACUGCGUUUCCAUGGCGCAGGAACACAUAGGACGUUAUUAAAAUAGAUUAGUGUCGAAAAUCGCGACCUCUUUCCCUCUGCAGUUUUCGCGUCUACUUCUUCGUGUUCUUUAAUAUCUGACAACAAUUUUACUUUAUAAUCGUUGAAUUAACUAAAAAGAAAUUUAUGUGCAUAUUCACAUAUGCUACAUAGUCCAAAUAUUAUUCCUAAUUUAAAUAUGCUUUUUACUCUGAAAAAGAUUGUAUUCUCUCCGGCAGUUUCUGUCGUAAAAAGAUAAUACCGAUCGUGUGACGAAAAUACAAGCCAAUUUUUUGUUAACAUGUUCCAUAUUCCCGUUUAUAACUAUACCUUCACUACUUUGCCCGUUUUCAAUCGUUAAUAGGAUUAAUUUAACAAUUGCCAAUUAUUGUAAAUAAUUUGAUAAAAUGUUUUGCACUAUUUGUAAUCUCUCCAAAUUAUUACGUAAAUAACAAUAUUUUUUUGAAGAUUUUGUGCAAACAGUAAUAUUUCGCAUUUUAAUAGAU